UCCGGUUUGUCACCGGCGGUCUCCUUAGAGUUCCCACCAUUACGUGCUGGCAACUAAGGACAAGGGUUGCGCUCGUUGCGGGACUUAACCCAACAUCUCACGACACGAGCUGACGACAGCCAUGCAGCACCUGUGUUCUGGUUCCCGAAGGCACCCCUCGAUCUCUCAAGGGUUCCAGACAUGUCAAGGCCAGGUAAGGUUCUUCGCGUUGCAUCGAAUUAAACCACAUACUCCACCGCUUGUGCGGGCCCCCGUCAAUUCCUUUGAGUUUCAGUCUUGCGACCGUACUUCCCAGGCGGCGAACUUAACGCGUUAGCUUCGAUACUGAGCUCUCAAUUGAGCCCAACAUCCAGUUCGCAUCGUUUAGGGCGUGGACUAC
rnacentral:misc_RNA from 1 species